CUGCUCACUUUGGCAGCACAUAUACUAAAAUUGGAAUGCUACAGAGGUAAGCAUGGCCCCUGUGCAAGGAUGACAGGCAAAUUCAUGAAGUAGUCCACAUUUUU
ensembl:snRNA U6 U6 spliceosomal RNA